UCUCCUCGGAAGCAACCAAAUGAGUUGGGGAAAGGUGUGGUUGACUGAGGCAGUCUUGUAAUACUGCAACAGCCACACAAGCAUGGCACUGUUCGGUGGAUGAGGUUUUAACUGUUCCUCGGAUGCAGUGUACCUAAGAUGGUCAUCUUAGAUGGAUUUUGGUACACAUUCAUUAUUAUAUGCACGCUACACGAUGAUAUAACAUGGAAAUGAAAGGUACCUGCCCGGAAUAAAACUGAAUUCAAAUGGCUGGUUGAAUUUUGCUGGUGUGGGUAAUUGGAGAAGGUUUUGUACUCACGGUUCUCGCCGAGAACUGCAACUCCAGCAGAACGUUUAUUCAUGCGAGAAUUGGAGUGCUGCCAAGAACUGUGAUCAGUUGAAUUGCAAGUCUGCGGAAUAGAAAUGCUUGCUGGAGCCUUUCCUAGGCUAGGCUAGCAGAAGCGUGAACGAUACAUAUCUUGCUGAAGAAAUGCUUGCUGGAGCCUUUACUUGCAUAUCUAACCGAAGAAACCGACACCCAGCGGUUAUCUUCAUCAAAUCUAACAGCAACUUACCGCUUUCCCCGGAGUUACACGACACACUGCCACACCCUUCAUCGCGCAUCCAACAGCUCUGAAGACUAGGGCUGUCGCUAUUUUGGAUUAUGACCUUCACUGUCUCCUUGUUCACCAGCUUUACUUUAGCGUUGAAGUUACCUUUCACUGGUUGUAAUGGGUAGAAAUGCCCGGAUCUACUGUAUAUGAGAGCCCUGGAGCUCAUCUUCCUGUUACUUGGGGUAAACCCCUAGCCGCCGUGCCCUGGGUGGCGUAAACGUGCAUCCUUAA